rnacentral:rRNA from 1 species
GAUGAACGCUGGCGGCGUGCUUAACACAUGCAAGUCGAACGGUGAACACGGAGCUUGCUCUGUGGGAUCAGUGGCGAACGGGUGAGUAACACGUGAGCAACCUGCCCCUGACUCUGGGAUAAGCGCUGGAAACGGCGUCUAAUACUGGAUAUGUGACGUGAUCGCAUGGUCUGCGUCUGGAAAGAAUUUCGGUUGGGGAUGGGCUCGCGGCCUAUCAGCUUGUUGGUGAGGUAAUGGCUCACCAAGGCGUCGACGGGUAGCCGGCCUGAGAGGGUGACCGGCCACACUGGGACUGAGACACGGCCCAGACUCCUACGGGAGGCAGCAGUGGGGAAUAUUGCACAAUGGGCGCAAGCCUGAUGCAGCAACGCCGCGUGCGGGAUGACGGCCUUCGGGUUGUAAACCUCUUUUAGCAGGGAAGAAGCGAAAGUGACGGUACCUGCAGAAAAAGCGCCGGCUAACUACGUG